rnacentral:rRNA from 1 species
CCUACGGGUGGCAGCAGUGAGGAAUAUUGGUCAAUGGGCGCGAUCCUGAACCAGCCAUGCCGCGUGCAGGACGACUGCCCUACGGGUUGUAAACUUCUUUUAUAACGGAAUAAAGUGAGCCACGAGUGCCUUUUUGUAUGUAUUUUAUGAAUAAGGAUCGGCUAACUCCGUGCCAGCAGCCGCGGUAAUACGGAGGAUCCGAGCGUUAUCCGGAUUUAUUGGGUUUAAAGGGUGCGUAGGUGGGUUUUUAAGUCAGUUGUGAAAGUUUGAGGCUCAACCGUAAAAUUGCAAUUGAUACUGGAGGACUUGAGAACAGUUGAAGUAGGCGGAAUGCGUGGUGUAGCGGUGAAAUGCAUAGAUAUCACGCAGAACUCCGAUUGCGAAGGCAGCCUACUAGGCUGCCACUGACAUUGAUGCUCGAAAGUGUGGGGAUCGAACAGGAUUAGAUACCCGAGUAGUC